rnacentral:rRNA from 1 species
GUUGUUCGGAUUUACUGGGCGUAAAGGUCGCGUAGGCGGCGCGGUAAGUCACUUGUGAAAUCUCUGAGCUUAACUCAGAACGGCCAAGUGAUACUGCAGUGCUAGAGUGUGGAAGGGGCAAUCGGAAUUCUUGGUGUAGCGGUGAAAUGCGUAGAUAUCAAGAGGAACACCUGAGGUGAAGACGGGUUGCUGGGCCAACACUGACGCUGAUGCGCGAAAGCCAGGGGAGCAAACGGG